rnacentral:lncRNA from 1 species
AAUACCUAAGAGAAUAUAUCUUAAUUGUUAAACUGGAUUACUCAAAUCAGAUUAAAAAUUACAAAUGUAUAUUCAGGAUUGAAGAAGCCACUUGCUUGAGAAGUAAAUUCAGAUAAAACAAAUGAAGGCUGCUUUAGUUCUGAAUAUUGACUUCUACUAAACAAGUUAAUGAUAUUUAAGUAAAUUGUUUGAAUGAAUGCCUUCAGUUACUUAAUUUCAUGCUUCUGUGUAGAAAAUAAUUCAGUCUUCUUUAACUGCGUUCUCUUAAUGAGCUAUCAAAACUCAAGUGUUUGGUGGAAUAGCCAGCAGAAAUUGUGAUCUUGCUUUUUGUACUAAACAUAAAAAAUAAGAACCAAGUACGAGCACAUGCAACUUUUACUAUUUUAUCCUGUAAUUUAAGUAGAUUUUUCAGAAGUGCAGCCUUUAUAAUAAUUUCCAGGUCUUUACUGUAAUGUGUGUGCUGUUGCCAAAAUUAGACAUGCUAUAUUUAAUGCACUGUUCCUACAGGAGUAGCAGGGGGAAGUACAUUAUAAGUGUCUGCACCAGCACCUGCUUAGUCCUUGGUGAGGGAUGUCCAAAGCCCCAUUUUGUCUCCCUGCUCAGCACCAUGAGCAUGUUUCUCAUGGAACAGCAGCACUGAAGAUAUGGUGGUACAAGCUGAGUAGUAGCUAGCAAAGUAGGUAAAACUUCUUCCUUGGGGCCCCGAUUUGUUCAUUAGCUAUUUCACAGCCGAGUAUUCCUUCAUCACUGUGUACUUGGUAUGUUACACUCAACAGCCAACAAGGUUAUUUUGUUAGUCCUGCAGGGUUUCCUUGUUCUUUGCUCUGUGUCUGUACUUCAGAAAGCUGUUGCUUUGAGCUUGACGACUGUUGUCAAGCAUGAGUAUUCCUGAUUGUCAUCUAUUUUCUUAAGGUGGGUAUGAAAAGAAUACAGAUCUGAAGGUAACUUGAUUAUAGAUAUUCUGUGGGGUUUGUCUGGUUUUCAAAGUACAGCUUCCAGUUUGUAGCUGAAUCACAAGUCAUUUGACAGCUUCCUUUUCUGAGUUUUUAGUGUCUUCCUAGAUUUAACUGUUUCUUACAGUCACAGAGGUGGUGAACUUCUCAAAAUGUAAUGAGUAUUAGCUACCACUCUUAGCUCUGAAGCUCACCCAAGCCUUGUUUCUUUUGUAUCUGCAGUGUUUUUUCCUGUAGUCAUAGAUCAUACUAGCUUUCAUUUCCUCUAUGUCACAAUACUUCCAUGAUUUAUAAAACGUGUGUCUGUGGCCUCUAUUAAUACAGUAAAUUUAUUUCACUUUUUAUGUAUGAUGUGCAAGAAUUAGGGCUGGAAUAUUUAUUCAGUGCAUGGUGUGAAUACUUUGUGUAGCUGCCAGGCAAACUCUGCAGGGACAGGAGAGGUGGGAACCCUGCCCAGCUGGAUAAAGAGUUGUGGUUGCAGUUGUGUUCAGUGCUGCUGACUGACCUUCACAGCAUCAACUGCUCUGCACAGCAAGGACUACAAAAUGUUGAUUAACAUUUUGCCAUGGCUUUGCUUUCAUUCUCUUCUGUUACUUGGAGGAGACAGAGGGAGAAGCUGGGUCUCAUACCCUUGAAGAGUUUGUGAUUAAUUUACUUAAUAAUGCAUUUGAAAGGAUUCCUAUAUAGUGCCAACAUGUACUGCCAGUCGUAGCCAAAGUGCAUUCAAUUUACCCUCCUAGUUGUCUUUCUGCUAAUGCAAGCAUGUGAAUGCAGACAAGGAAGAAGGUCACUACAGCAUUAUUAUUUUGGAAAAGGUUUCCUAAUUUCUGUUCUUGGCUAACUGGAUUGCUCACUGCUUUAAAUCCAAACCAGCAAGAAUGUCAUCGCUCAUGUUCUGACUACGGGAAGGCUAUGUGAUACUCAGACUAAACACGAUAGAUUCAACAUUUAUCUUAAUCAUGUCCUUACAGUGCAGGUACUCAUAUUCAUAGAAACUGAGACUAAUAAGGAAUUUAUCAAAGAUACCAAAUAUUGAAGAUGUUUACCCAUGUAAAUGCUUUGGCAGGAUCCUGCAGACUAGGGUGAGUGGCUUCACUGCUUGUCAUGCAUUGGGUCUGUUUACUGUGUGACUACAGGGAGGCUUUCAAAGCUGUCAGGAUAGCUUUGUUCACUAGCAUUACUGUUCUAAAAAUAAAUAUCUUCUCAUUACUGCUCACAUGAAACACCAGUAGAUUCUAUUGAUGCUGUGUCUCAGAAUUGACUUGACAAGCUAGAAUAAAUUUAUGCCCUCAGAGAGGUGAGAAACGAGAAACAAGUAACUGACUGAAGGUUAAAGAUCUAGCAGUCCAAGGAAUUGCAUUGACUGGACAAGCCACAGUUCUCAUUCUUCUGCCAAAACUGUGAUACCACAUGUUGCCUAUUUUUUCAGUUAGAAGCUGGUUAUUUUAUUUACUGAACUAGUAGUCUGUGUUUUCUGUCCUUUAGCAAGGACUGCAAUUUUUAGAAAGCAUGUAACUUCACUGAAGAAUAUUGAUUUGAUACCUUAACAUGAUUUCUAGAACUCAAAAGGAGUUCAGAAAGAGUUGCCUUUUAUUACUUCAGUCACUGUAGUAAUUGUCAAACUGAAAGACCUCUGGGUCCUCUGUAAUGGUAAGUAGAAUGAGAUCCAAGCAACAGUGGAUGUAUAUGUUUAGAGGGAAAAGAGAAUGAGCUGCUUUCUCUGGAAAUGGUGUGCCAAGUGCAGCAGCAGCUGGAGAAUCAACAGAAAUGCCCCUCUUGCAUUUUGACUGAGGGUAGUUUUAAGUUGUGUGGAAGAACAACUUCUAAAUGACUGGGAACAGGGUAAAUUGACUUACAACUCAGCCAUCAGGGACAUCAGAGUUUUAACAGGCAUUUCUGUGUUAGACAAGCAGCCAUCUGCCUCACUUUCUGCCCUGCCAUACACACUCUUCAGCCCCAGUCCCAGGAGAGUCACUCCCUUAAUCAUUAGUUGUCAUCUCUUUGGUUGUAUUUAAUUAAGGUUAUUGAUGGAUCUCCAGGCACCUUCUGGGAAGUUGUAUUAAUUGGAAACAUACAGGUGGCAAGUUCCUUCAUUCUGCCCAGAGACCUCUCCUGACAGGUUGAAAUUAAUCAGAGACAAAAUCCUUUUAAUGAUAUGAACAACUGAGCCAAAGCUUGCGUCAGGCUUUAAGAAACUGUAUUUAUUUUUAUAGUCCAUUGUCUCAGAGCUGGUAGUGAGAGAUAUAUGGCCCUGCAGAGGAACUAGGAAAGAUAGAGAGGAGUGGAGCUACAGGAUUUGUUCCAGAACUCUGACACCACUAGCAUCUUAAUUUGUGUGCCGUUAAAUACAUUUUUUACUGCAGAAAAGACCCAUUUACAGUGCAAGUGUCUCAGGCAGAGAUGGUUCUGGGCAUCUUGAAAUGGAUCAGAGCAGAUUAUAAUACUUUGUGGCAUCUCUGAGCAAAUAAGAAGGCACAGGUGAUUUGCAGUGGAAAUGGGCUGAGUAUCCUUGAUCCUGGGAAUUAGGGAUGGCAGCUCAGAAAAAUGCAGGGCAGCUUAUCUGGUUGAGAUAGCACAGGAUAAGGGUGGUUGUGGGAGUUGGGAUGGGGUGUGACACGUCCAGCUGUGAGUGCAUGAAUACAUUGUGCUAAUAAGAGCAUUAAGUGCUAAUACUGUCCAAACACAAUAGCUCAGCAGGCAGGAGUUAAGUCUGAACCACCUGGAAUCUUAGCAAACUGGUUAGCUUCUCUGCUAAAGUUAAAGUUGAAGUGCUUUAAAUUUUAAGGCAUCUCUAAUUAAAUUGGUUUAAGGUGGUCAGGGUGAGACAGAUGAGAAUAAAAUGUGGUAGAUGAGGGUAUUAUGAACUGGUAUGGUGUAUUCAGGAUAAAUUUGUGUGAAUAUACUGGAAUUUGUCUGAAAGUUGGAUCCAGGCAGUCAAAAAGACAUGGAUAUCAACUCUGUUCUUUUUUGCCAAUACAAUAGAUUUCUUAGCCUCAUCCCCUAACUGAUUUUUAAAUAACUACACCAGAAAGUGAAGAAUACUUGGUGUAAUUUCUCAUCUCUUAAUGAGGUAUUUAAGGAAGCAGUCUCAUUUUAAAGGGUGUGUUUUAUCACAGCAUUGCUAGCAUUGUCUUUAAUUGUGGCAUAGCAUUUACUGUGGCAUCAUAUGUGGCCCUUACACACUUGUGAUGUAUAUUCUUUUCGAAUCUAAUAUUAAAAGUUUAAGCUCUGUGGUUCAUUUUGGUUUUGACCAGCUGAAACGCAAGCUAGGAUUAAAUGUGUCGAUACAAGAAAAAAUGUUGUAAAUGCUAAUUAGUGAAAGUUAAAGUUUUAAAUUGUUUUUAUAGUUGUACAUUCAAGAUUCACAUCUCUGGGGUCCACUGAGGGAGUUUGGUUUGUGACUGUCCCUAUAAAGUCAGCACUUUUGUCCCAUCCAUUAGUGACUUGGUGCUGUCAGGCUAUAGAGACAUUUGGCUAUUGAGUAACACAGCCCUUUUGUAGUUCCACAUUCUUCCUUAAAAUUAAUGUGUAAUAUUAAAAAAUAAUGUU